ACAGCAUUCCUGGCUUGAUUUUCCUCUCUCUUGCGCCAGUGUGUGAACAGCAAAAGGUUCAUCAAACUCAUUGGAGUGGGUCAAAUCAACCUCUUUUAAUGCUCGGGCAUGACCCCACAGCACGGGAGCAUAAAGACUCCAUCCACAAAUUAAAGAUUUCUCCUGCUGGCAGGCCUGCUGAGUAACCAAGCCCCAAGUCAAAACCACCUUCUGGUAAACACAGAGACUCUGAACCGCAGUUUGCCGGCUUUCUUCUUUGUGACUAAUGACCACCAUGAAGAGCUUCACAGCAGUGUGGCCUGUUACCGGAGCCAGAAAAUACUUGUUUUUGCCUACAAGGGCAGUCUGUGCAUUUUAAGACAUCCGAUACCAAUUUGACGCUUCAGCCAAGCUCCACAGGUUGAGAACUACACCUAAGUAGAGUGAUACCGUGGGCCUCCACCCAAAAGCAAAAGCUUCAAAUAAGGGGAAGCAUGUAGAGAAGAUAAAUUCCCUCUGGGAUGUGUUUAUAUUGACUCAUUUCCUUGGACGCUGAUGUGUCUCCGAUGGGGAAAAGGGGACAGGAGAAAGCGCAAGAAUCCCUUAAGUCAACCGUGCGAUCAAGAAAAAGGUAAACAAAGUUACAUACCUAAGCAUUUAGGGUGAAAGGGCAAGACAAAAGGUCCAUAAUUCAUCAUCAGAUGUUUCUUUCCUGACUAAGCAAACAAACAAAAAACAAAUGAAAUAAUGAAGACAGUGGUCGUAGAGCAACAGAACAAAUACGUUGAGAGAUAUUAUGAAAAUGAGAUAAUAUGAAAGGAGAAAACUGUAGAGGUCAUGGAAAGCAAACAGCUUUGGAGCGUGCUGUGCAAGAUUUGGAGAAAGCAACGGGUCAGUUUCCAGCAACGUGAGUUUUACUGGGAUUGUGCUGCUCAGUCUGGGGGGUUAAAAUAAUCAAAGUCUAACAGACAGUAUUAUUUUUGCUCUAAAUUAAUGGCCUCAGUCUAGUCCUUAUAAUUAUGUCUUUGCAGCAUUUAUCAUCCGGGGACAGGAGAUAUAACCAGCGGGAGAGUCUGUCCUGGUACGAAUAGGCCUGUAGGUCAGAGGUGUAGUAACGAGAGAAUCGCAGGAGGACGACGAGUGGAUCCCACAGCCUCCAACAGCAUGAACCUGAUUAUGAGAGACCCUAUAGAACCGAAAAAAAUAAUUACCUGAUAACUAUGCAAAUUGUACCAUGGAUACAGCUGUCAUUGUGAGUGCAAGCACUUUUACAGCUUGUGGGCUUUUUUCGCAUGGGAGGAGGAAACCGCAGCGCAGCUUGGGCCACAUAUAAACUCUCUGGUGGUCACUGUGCAGCGCACCACAACGUUUUAGAGGGACAAUGGGAAUAAAGUUUACAUCCAUGUCUUCCAGGACUCAUAUCCGCUGUAGCUUGAGGCAUAAAAGAUGCUUGUUUGUAGAGGGUUUCUCUGAUCUGUAUUCCUCAAGAGUAUCUUAGGAGUCGAAAAUAAUACAAGUAAUAAACAGCAUGACAUACAAUGUACUGUUAAGCAUUUUAGGCGACAAAACCGAGAAUGUUUAGCUACUAGAAUGUAGCAUUAUUUGCAUUAGGAAAGUAUGCCGUAGGUAGGCACGGCAUAUCACGACCCUUUGCCUUCUGAAAGGGACCUCUAGGUGUAUCUUGGAAUUUCCUAAUAAAGAUUAAUGUAAAGCAUAGUUUAUAACAAGUAUAGAUUUUCACAUCUGUGUUAUAGACAGUUUUGACUUGCCUCUUGCAAGCAAAGGACAUGAGAAUGAGAAAUGACUUGAAGAAAGGAUGUAAGUGAGAAGGGACAAUAAUCCUUAAAGCUUCUGCACGCAGUAGGCAGUAGGUUUCAAUCUGGGCAGAGCGCUCGCUUUUCACCGAGAUUUGAGACAUCAAAGAACCAUUACAAAGCCCUGCCUGCUAAUUUCCCUACAAAACUCUCUGCAGUCAUUCAAGGUUGCAUUAACAGAACCGUUUCUUGAAAGUCCAGCUACAGCAAAUUGAUUCGAAUGACUGUAGGAGGUGUCAUCGCUCGGAACUAUGAUCUUCCCUGCAAAAUCUUUGGACAGAGUCCAAGCACGAGAAACCAUCCACAGAACCUAAAGUUACGAAGCAAUGUAUCCUCGCAGAAACCGAUCCAACACUGUAGGGAAAGGAGGAAUGCCGAAUCAAUCAGCGAUUUUAAAGGGGUUUCUUUGUCACGCGUACCGUCCACACAAACAACCUAGUUACCCCACUACCAAAAUCUAUGCGGCUCCAAAUCCCAUCCUCUAUUAAACCUUCCUAGCUAUAAUUGUCUCUGCACCUAAGCAUCAAUUCUUUGUUUCGUUGCAGGUUCCCUAGUUCAGUCCAGGAGUCGUUUAAUAAUUAGAAUAGAAUCCGUCAAAUUCUGUUUCUCAGAAAGCCAUUCAACAGAGCAUGAGACUACACAGUAGCCUAUCCCGAUGACUUUGCGUUCUCUACGUUCCCCUGUCUUCUGCAGUUUUCUAUUUCUCCUUUGCAUGUACACUUAUAUGCAGGAUGAAUGAAGGAUACGAGUGUGCAGUAUGGACCAUAACAUCGCAGAAGAAGCGGUGAAGUUACUGUGUUAUGAAAAGACAGAACAGAGAUGGCUAAUCGCGCAGUGGGGGAUUGGAAAUGAAUUUUACGGCACACCUCAGAAAGUAUAUCGUAAGGAAAAUUUAUCUUCGAAGCGAUUCCUUCCUCGGCAGGAAAAUAUUAUGUAUGAACAAAUCAUCACCUUUCUUGGCCUUAGCUGAUAUUACCAAAGGUAACCACCAAGGAACCAGUCCCGUUUCCUUCAGUUGCAGACAUUAAACGGCCACAAUGCUGGCUUUUAAGAAAGCUUUGCAUUCAAGCUGUAAGUUCAGGGUGGGGGAAGGCCGGGAGGCACCAAACUCAGCCUGCACACACAGAUUACGCAUCCUAUGUGCAAAGUCGUUGAUUUAUGCUGAAACCAACAGUUACUGAUUUGUUUUGCGCUGUUGCCUGAAGUAAACGCAUUUCAAAACAUAUAUUGUACUUCAAGUAACGUCAAACUAGAAUUGUGUGCUGGAUAACACUAGAAUGAGUACACUGAAAAAAAACCACCCACAAAUCUGUUUACAGUUUCUCAACAAUGCGAAAUAUCAAACCUAAGAGGUUAUUUUACAAAUAUUUUAUGUGAUUGGAUUUGCAGUCCUCUGUGGAGAGUCUAAGAAGGUAAAGAUGUUCGAAAUAAGGAUUUCUUCUUCCAAGUGGAAAGAGAAAGUGAGAACUAAGUAAAGGGGAAAAAAAAAAAAAAAAAGUGCUCUGGAGAGUUUGUCUCUCGCAGACACAUCCACCAGGAUGCUCUGAACUCGCUCCCCCACUGAUCAUAAGAUCUUUUGACAGAGACUGAGAGUGCCUGGUUACUGGACGCUAGCAUCUCGUUGCAGGAAAUCAACAAGAAAGUAGAAACAGGCCAACCGCACUCAGAGGUAGAUGAAAAGUUUGGCAUAAGGGAUAGUCCAAAAAGAUGCUGGAAUAAUGUAAGUGUGUUUUUAGGCUAUGCGGCGGAGCGGAGGCUGGAAACAGAGGGAAGGAGUGUUUUUUAAAGAGGUCAGUCACAUACCAGAGCCAAAAAUCACGUGAAGGACCUGGCAUAACUGCAGAAACACUACAUACCAUGAGUCCUCACAGAUAUGUAAUUAAAGUAAGUUUUUUCUGACCUAACCAGGACCACACAAAUUCUUUGCGGAUCAAAUCUGCCUAGGUUACUUUCCAAUUUACUGUGUUUGGAUAUCGUUAUUUGUUCACCCCUUUCCCUAUUGUCUUUCAUAGCUGGAAUUUCUUAAAUACAUCACACCUCUUCGGAAGGUCUUUCAGAAGCCUUGCAAACUUACUUGUUAUAUAAAAAAGUAAAGGUCACACAUAGCCAGUACAUGAAACAAAGUAAGUCCAAAUACUAACUCAGAGCAACCGAUUCCACAGAUCAAUAGGAGAGCCAGCAUAAGGCAGUACAGUUUCAGCUGAAAAAUAGCACCGGCAUCAGAGCCGGAGUCCCUCCUGAGCAACAAGAAAGGCAGCUAAGUGACAGAGGAUAGACAGGAAACUAUCACUUGCUAGAUGAUCGUCUCCCUUUGAUCCCUCGACAGGGAUAGUAACUGGAUAGUAGCAGGCCCAGGGCCUGCUCCCACAGGGGCUCUCCGCCGGCCUCAGCCUUCUCCAGGCCAGAUCCACCAGCUCCACCGGGGGCUCCUCCGCAGGCCGCAGCAUGGAGAUCCGCUCUGCUGUGGGACCCACGGGCCGCAGGAGGAAAUCCUGCUCCACUAGGGGCCUCUCCACAGGCUGCAGGGUGUCCUGCCCCACCUCCCGCCCUCCCUCUGCACCGAUCCUGGGGUCUGCAGGGCUGGUUCUCACUCCUCACUCUACCAGCCGCUGUUGCACAGUAGCUGGGAGAGUGAGGAGUAUCUAUUAUAAUGUCUAGUAGUACUUUUCACAGUACUAUUUUUAUAUGCUCUGUAAUAUAAGAAAUUGUAGUGAUGUUUAGACCUCAAAGCUGCAGGAAUUGCUGAUCGAUCCACAAAGUAGUGCAUUUUUCAUAGAAUGAUAGAGCGACUUGGGUCAGAAGGGACCUUAAACAUCAUCUGGGAACAACCCCCCCCAACACAGGCAGGGAUGCCACCUGCUAGAUCAGGUUCGCCGGGGCCCCAUCCAGCCUGGCCUGGAACACCACCAGGGAUCGGGCGUCCACAACCUGUCUGGGCAUCCCGUUCCAGUGCCUCACCAGCCUCUGAGUAAAGGUAGUCUUCCCCCCAUGCAAUCUAAAUCUCCCCUCCUGCAGUUUAAAACCAUUCCCCCCUUGUCCUAUUGUUGUCUACAUGAGUAAAGAAAGAGUCCCUCCCUGUCCUUUUUAUAAGAACCCUGUAAUUAGUGAAAGGCAGCAGUGAAGUCUCCACAGAGCCUGGUCUUCUCCAGCCUGUACAUCCCCAGCUCUCUCGGCCUGUCUUCGUAGGAGAGGUGCUCCAGCCUUCCAAUCAUCCUCGGGGCCCUUCUCCAACAGGUCUGCACCCUUCUUCUGCCAGGGGCCCCAGACCCAGACCCAGACCCAGUACUCCAAGGAAGUGGGGCCUCACGAAGGCAGAGCACAGGGGGAUGAUCAGCUUCCUUGACCUGCCAGCCAC